UACAGGGGGUGCAAACGUUGCUCGGAAUCAUUGGGCGUAAAGCGCACGUAGGCGGUUCGUUAUGUCGGAUGUGAAAGCCCUUGGCUUAACCGAGGAAGUGCAUCCGAAACUGGCGAGCUAGAGUACUAAAGAGGAUCGCGGAAUUCCCGGUGUAGAGGUGAAAUUCGUAGAUAUCGGGAGGAAUACCGAUGGCGAAGGCAGCCCCCUGGGUCGAUACUGACGCUCAUGCACGAAAGCGUGGGGAGCAAACAGG
rnacentral:rRNA from 1 species